CGCGAUUGGUUGAAAAUACAUUGUGUGUGUGAUAGGUGUUCGAAUUAGCGCCGUCUUUUGCGCCCUCUUCAAAAUACUCUUUCUCCUCUUUAUUGCUAUGGCUUUGGUCCGUAUAAGUGUAGCAUAAAGUACCAGCGUUCGACCAGAUUUGAGCAGCGCCACGUUUCAUCGCGUAGUGAGGAGUUGCGUCCAGGCAUGGUUGCCAGGAUUAGUGGUUCGGUGGUAGACGCAGGCCCGAUAUGUCUUCUCGCUGACGUCACAGAAACCGUGUAGCUCAAUCUAUGUUACGGAUUCGAUGACGGUCGUACGCGGCAAUCUUAUAUUAUUUAAUAAUGGCAGCUGUGCAUGGUACCAGUUACACUCAGCGUGUAAGUCUGCUGGAAGGGACUCGUCCCAAUCAACCCUUAAUACCCAAACUCGUUGAAGGAGCAUCUUGGCUCGAACGAUUACAGGCGUGAGCAAUCUCACAAUCUCAGUGGAUAACUCGGGAGGUACUGAAUCUGGCAUCGAUCGAAUAGAGGAUUGAAUCGUCGGAGAAUUCCAAAAAAUACCAAGAGAUUUUAAUGUUUGAGAUUCACCCAACUGUAGUUCCUGGUUUGUGUCUUGUUCGGAUAGUCCUUGUAGCAAUUCCUGGUCUUUGGACGCCCAUUUUCAUAUUUUCAAAACGGCUAGUUGGAUAAUUUCUGUGAAUUACCGCUCUGAGCGACAGUGCUUUGUCCUUCGUAGCAGCUCCGAUGAGGGCGCCAUCUACGGAAAAAUCUCGCUGCAAAACCGACGAGGCUCGCUUUAAUCGGUAUCCCUCGUCAUCGGCCAAUUGUUUGAAGCACCUGAUAGCUGACAACCCGAACGUCACUGCGUUGAGUAGAUAUGUUCCUACCUCCCAGUUAGAGUUGCGCAACAAGAUUUAUUGACACUUCCGGUCUUCUGAACGUACGAGGAACUGUCGGUACACCUUCUCAACAUCAUAAAUAAAUACGGUUUUGGUAAGAGCGGUAUCUCAGAAGACUGUCGAAUAAAUGCUCCUGCAUCUUCGGUCCUGUAUGAAGGGUGUCGGUUAAAGAUACUCCGGUGGUGCUUGGUGCAGAUCCGUCAAACGUGACCCGGAGUUUUGUAGUUUGGCUCUUCUUCUGGUAAUUCUUUGAUUUCGCCAUGAUGUGGCAGGUAAUAUCCGUUAUCUGAGGAGUCGUCUGAUGUGAUCCUGGUCAUAUGUCCCUAUUGCAAGUGUUCUUGAAUGAUCGCCCGAUACUCGGUUUCAAGUUGCUUGUCUGAUUGGAAUCGGUGGUGGAGAGAGGCGAGUCGUUUCAUCGCAAUUGUUUUAGACGACCCAAGCGAAGGAGGCUUUUCGUUAAACGGGACCGCGACGAUGUCAUCGUCCUUCGCUGGUGCGUUGGACGUUGUUUCAGGAGUGCUCCUCACAACGUCAAUCCGUCUCUCAAACGUGUUCAGUUGGUUGGCCCUUAUCGAUUUCCCAAGUUGAGCUCCCGUUGUUGAAUGGUGUCUGGGUUUAAUUAGGACAGGAAUAAUUCGAGUAUAAUGGUGUUUGACGUGACAAAGUCACCUAAGUUCUUCAAUGCGCAGAGAUGGUGUUUGAUAGUGUCGAUUAAAUUCACUAAGGUUUCCGGUGUCUCUUUGGUCAAUUUAGGAUAGUUCUGCAUUGCAAUCAAAUGACGUAGACAAGUUUGUCGUGUACGAUCGAAGGGAAGGGUCGAUGUUCACCCGGCAUCCUCUCCUUGUCUCAGCGCUUGGUCCACAUGGUCAUGCACGCCUGGCAGACGGAUCUUCCUAGCCCAUAGUGCCACCCUCACCAACUUCCGUGGUAAUAAUCGAAUCAAACUGAAGCUUUGGUGAGUUUCUAUCCCCUAGUCGAUUAAAGAAACGGUGGAACUCGUCGCGGUUUGUUGCAAAAAAACAGCUCUGUCCCAAAAGCUAGCACUUUGAAAAUUUGCUAGUACGGCGACGAACAUGCCUGGUCUCAUACUUUUCACCUUCGGCCAGUAUGCCUUGGGCUGCCCCAUCAUCUCCUAAUUGAGUGUUUCGGUUAUAUUGGACCAUCCUUCUAUGCGGACCCAAAUGUUAGUAAGCGUCUCGACUCGCUCCACCUUGACACGAAUCCCGUCUCGGAACCGAUCGUUCGUACGUUGUAAGAUCUCCAUGUUCCGCUAGUUUCGUCACAAAUUUCGAAUGUCAGUGUUUGGCUAUGCUGAUUUUCCUAGUCAUAUCUCGAGCUGAGACGACGCUCUGGAUUUGUCGGAAUUUGGACCACACCUACGUACAGGGUGAAUCUCAUCUUCUCUUACGUGUUAUAGAGGGAUCUUUGUCAUUUAUCUUGCUUCACACUUUUCUUGUACUCGAAACGUUUUAUAAUAAUGUUGAAAAUAUACAGACAGUAUAUAAUGGCGGUUAUUAUUUGUCGGGAGGCCACGUUUCCUUCUGAAUAACUUUCAAUCCUGUAUAAAAUAUUUUUUAGAUGUUUAGCGCUAAUGCCAUUUAAUUCCUCAGCGCUGGAUCUCCUUUUGCCAGAAUUUCAAGUUUUCCCACAAUUGCUGCCGUAGCCCAUGCGGUACAUCUACAUCGGUGUAAUUAAGCUUACCUUCGAUUGGAUACUUAUCAAUUAAUAGGAUUCCACUUAAAUCCGUUUAUCACAACCAUGAUGAUGAGUUAUCAUAUGCGUUCGGUUUCUUCUAUUUCAUCAUUGCGACUUUGCCGUUGAUUAUAAUAUAGCCCAUGUAAAAGCGGAAAACGACUCGUGAGAUGCGCCCUUCUAGCGAUGUCGUGCACGAAUUCGUUAAUUGCGGCUCAGCCAGCCAUGGGAUAGUUUACGAUUGAUAAAUCGCAACGCCAUACAAGGCUGCUAGAAUGCGGAUAAUUUUGAAACGAAAUCCUAAACGAACCUCUGGUGAUAUGUGCCACCAAGCGAGAUUUUCCCUAUGCUGAGAAUUGAUACAGAUGUGUUGUGACAUCGCUGCGAUUUCAUAGCAGUGAUAUUUUAUUAUUUGGAACAUGUAUAACAAUGCUAUAAGAUGGUCAACAGCUGUUCAAACAUACUUGUACGAACCCGUAAUAAUCUUAAGAUACCGUUAAUUGCCGUCA